rnacentral:sRNA from 12 species
CCUUUGGAGAGUUAUAUCAAACUGAAGUAGCGUUUAGCAAAACAGGACUCGAUGAACAAGGAA